CUACAAUAUAAGAUUCCACACAAUUGAGAAAGCCGCAGCUUCUGCCUCUAUAGAUUCGAUUUGAAUUUGAAUAUUUGAGUGCUGUGGCUGAGAUGAAGCAAUACUCUGUUUCCAUUCAUCUGUUCGGGCAAAUGCCUCAAAGAAAUGUUCCCGUAGAUCUGUACACUCUGAGUGUGGCGAUUGAUUGCUUUUGCCGACUGGAAGAACUGAUUUGGAUGUUGCAACCUUUGACAGUUUUCGUAAGCGUAGGCGUGAGCCUCGGCCGAGAAACUGUGUGAACCUAAUGAAAUUGGCCUGUAGUACUUGUUCUAUAUCAACUUGAUGAACGGGUACUGCAAAAAGGCAUUAGUAGAUGUUGGUGUAAUGAAAACUUUGUACAACUUCAAAGACUUGUCCAACAUCUAUAUAAAAUUCUUUUCAAUGAAUGCAUUAGUGCAUAUUGGAAAGAAUUUGAGAAAGAUGCAAACGCAUAAUCGUCGUUAUAAUCAUAACGACGAUUGCGACGAGCAUAAGAGAGGGUGACGCACGACGCAGGAGUGGAGGUGGGUGUGCCGUGCCUUAUUCCUACCAAGGGCGAAAGAUCACUUCCCUUUUUCGGACCCCAUAAACACAUACAUCAACCGGGCCUUGUUUCGUCAAGAAGCUUGAAGAGACACACUUGAACUUGCUGCUGGUGUUAAUGUGUUAACAAUAACUCAGCCAGUUUCGUAGGAGUUCAUUCUUACUAAUUGCGUCAUUUGUGUAAUGUAGACACUUCCCAAAAUGUGGUGGGACACCUACGUUCGCAAGCCCCCCGGAACAUAUGACUUCAAGUUCCAAAUGGGGAACUUCACAUGGGAUGUGGUUGUGAAGUGCACGAAAACGCGCGUGCGGGUCUCGCGAGGUUUCCCCGAAUUUGUCACAGCGAAUAACAUCGGUGUUGGAAGCAUCCUCAAGUUCGAGCUGGUUAGAGGCCGGCGUACCCUUUUCUACAUUACUAUGUAUUAAGAGCGUCGAAUAUGGUCGCGUGGCACUGAUUUUCCAAAGGCGGUGGCUCGCGACGGUGGGGUAAUCUUGAUGCAGCGUGUGUAGUACGAACUGCAUCUCAAAUGCCUUUCGGUGUUUAUUGUAGUAUCUUUUCAGUUUAUGUGUGUAGUGGGCAACGUGUAUGGACGGUGGUAUGAUGCCGUUGGUAGUGCUAAGACUAUUUUGUGUGCGAAGGCUGAUGAUUUACACGCUUUGUAGCUAGGACUCGGUCCCUUUAUGAUCAUAGCCGUUUCUGGGUGUUUAUGUAACUCCGUAGCACUAAAGUAACGCCUAAUGAAUAUGUUUUAAUCUUCAA